rnacentral:rRNA from 1 species
UACGUAGGGGGCAAGCGUUGUCCGGAUUUAUUGGGCGUAAAGAGCGUGUAGGCGGCUAGGUAGGUCCGUUGUAAAAACUCGAGGCUCAACCUCGAGACGCCGAUAGAAACCAUCUAGCUAGAGUCCGGAAGAGGAGAGUGGAAUUCCUGGUGUAGCGGUGAAAUGCGCAGAUAUCUGGAGGAACACCGGUGGCGAAGGCGGCAUUCUGGACCGACAUUGACGCUGAGGAGCGAAAGCCAGGGGAGCAAACGGG